rnacentral:piRNA from 1 species
UAGGAAAGGUUGGCAGGACUUGUAUA